UACGUAGGGUGCGAGCGUUGUCCGGAAUUAUUGGGCGUAUAGAGCUCGUAGGCGGUCUGUCGCGUCGAUCGUGAAAACUUGGGGCUUAACCCUGAGCUUGCGGUCGAUACGGGCAUGACUGGAGUUCGGCAGGGGAGACUGGAAUUCCUGGUGUAGCGGUGAAAUGCGCAGAUAUCAGGAGGAACACCGGUGGCGAAGGCGGGUCUCUGGGCCGAUACUGACGCUGAGGGGCGAAAGCGUGGGGAGCGAACAGG
rnacentral:rRNA from 1 species